AAAGAUAGAGGUCGCGUUUUUGAUCAGUACUUUCUGGGAGAUGUCAGGCAUUGUUGAACAGAGAGGAAAGGGAAAGACGCCGAAAGGAGAGGCUUCCUGAGAGUCACUUGCUUGGGCAUACAGUGAAUAAUUGUAUGACUGUCAUCAACAGAUGGGGAGCUAUCAU
rnacentral:ncRNA from 1 species